UUGGUUUCUUCGUUUCGAGGAAACGAAAGAAGAGCCAUGUUUCAGACGGGUGAAGAACGAAUUUCGCUGACUUCUCCGGGAGUACGAAGUGCCUCUGAACGAGGUGAUACGGUAGCCCUCAGAAGUAGAGGUUAGAAUACGCUGGAAAAGAGGAUGAGAAAAGCUUCGUUCGGACCCGCGAGGAGUCUCUCUCUCCUUUUCCAGACAAAUGGCACGCUUUAUCACUCUGACCCCUCAAUCCCAUCGUAUCUUCUCACCAACCCUCAGCGGGUAAAGUCCCGUGCGCAUGCGCAAGGGUCCUCUCUCCAUUUUCGGUUAUACCACUGGCUCGUUUGUAUGAGAUAUCGCCACUUGUAAAAUUACCCCGAAAACCGUGUCCCGUAUAUUUCACCAUUAAGGCCCAGAGAGCUCGGUUACACUUCUUGUUACUAUACCUGAAUGGUAUACGUAUACCUAAUACUGGGUUAAAUAGACGGACAGAUGGAAGGGGGACUCGUGUAAAGCGUUAGUUCGCUUAGUUCGUCGAGGUUCCCCUGAAUUCUAACAGAUGGCGCUGUAGCACGGUAUCUCGAUACCGAUUAAUCCUUGAGUCAAUUGGACGAAAGUUUAAUUGACACUCGUUAGAAGAGAAUUCUGGCCGUGUGAUGUAGUAUAACGUAAAGCUGGGAAAGCUACCCCUGGGAACGUGGUGGUUAUGCCCAUACCCGUGUGAGGGUUACGGCGGCUUUCGACGAGAUGGUUCACACUUUGUUUUAUGGGAAUCGUAAAUCGCGAAACGGGGCCCAGAACGUAGUUUGAGCUUGCGCCAACUUUCCAGUCUAUGCAUACAUUAUAAUCUUUUUCUAUGGGUUCGCGCGUCGGCUGGGACAUAGGCAGGCAAGGGUUGCACGGUGUAAGGGAAUUGUUGGAAAGUCGAAGUAUAUGAUUGGUGGCCCGGAGGGAUGCUCGAGGUACAGGAGGAGACGGAGGAGAGAAAAAUAUAUAAAAAUUCAUCCAACCACCGACAUUUGGACAAAGUAUCUCCAUUUCAACAUUCGUACGUACAGGAACAUUUCCUCUUCCGGUUUCUUCGCCGGCGGAACUUUGUUCGGUAUGACGUUCACCUUGGCGCAGCCGGUCUUGCACUUUUUACCUUGAAAACGAGGAUACUCACGUUAUUGGACGAUUCCCAGAGUACGAGAAAUGGGUCAGCGAAGCUUAGUGAAUUUCCUGGAUACGUCGGCAAAGAAACGCUGUAAGGUUACGGGACACAGCACAGUGGAUGGAAAUCUUGAUUUAUGAUGUUAUCGAUAAUUCUUUAUGGGAAAUACAACUUUUAUUGAUAGGACACAAGAAAUCACGUAGCGGAUUAUUCACGCCGUUUCCUGUCUCGACGAACGGAAGAAGGCAUCGGAACACGAUACAUCGAACGUUGGGUUGCGUUCAGAUACUUCCCCUUGAAUCCCUUCGAUCUGUCUCAGAUCCUUGGCCACUCUGAUAGAGAGGACAUUGUUCUGGAUCUCAUGGGAUACCUCAUCGUACGG